UACGUAGGCAGCAAGCGUUGUUCGGAAUUACUGGGCGUAAAGAGUGUGUAGGCGGUGCUCUAAGUUCGGUGUGAAAUCUCCCGGCUCAACUGGGAGGGUGCGCCGAAAACUGGAGUGCUGGAGCGCGGGAGAGGAAAGCGGAAUUCCUGGUGUAGCGGUGAAAUGCGUAGAUAUCGGUAGGAACACCAGUGGCGAAGGCGGUCUCCUGGGGCAUUCUUGACGCUGAGGCGCGAAAGCUGGGGGAGCGAACGGG
rnacentral:rRNA from 1 species